rnacentral:rRNA from 1 species
AUGCUAUCUCAGGAGCUCGAAAAAUGUCGGACCCAGCUAACUGUUAUUACCACUGAACUGGCGAAGUCCAAGGAGGCACCGACUGCAUCCCCGAAUCAACUGGAAGAGGAACUGAAGGCCGCGCAGGCGGAUAAACAACAUGCCGAAAGUCAAGAAGCUGCUAGUCAGCGUAUAUUAACGCGGACCAGGGAUGAGAAAAACAAGCUACAGGAUGCUAAUACCAAGCUAGCCGAGGAGCUAAAGGACGUUAGAGCCCAGCUGUCGGAUGCUUUGAAAGAGGACAGAAAGCUAAAAGGCGGCAUAUUCCGUGUGUUAACUGGGUGGCCCGAGGGAGAAGUGUCCGGAUUCCAAGGCGACGUGCUACAAGAGCUGUCAAAAGUCCAUGGGCGAGCCCGGAAGGCAAUGAGGAACAUUGCUAAGGCUUUGUGGCCGGCCGAUGCUCCUCCAGGAGGUAUGGAAGAGCUCGUGACUUUACUCAAGGGAGCUCGGCGCCGCUUUGGACUGUGGAAGAUAUCCGCAUGCCGAGAAGGGGCACGAGAGGCCUGGGACAUGGUGACAACGCGGUACACCGGGCUUGAUCCAAAUCAUAUGGCCCAGGUUGGGCCUCGAGGAUCAGAUGGACAAGAAAUUCCCAUUAGCUUGGUAUAUGACCAACUAAAGAUAGCCGCCAAGUUUUCGCAACAGGAUUGUAAGCUAGACAAUUUAUUAGAUGGUCUAGAGGAGGAAGUUUUCGAGUCCAAGUAG